rnacentral:rRNA from 1 species
UACGUAGGGAGCAAGCGUUGUCCGGAAUCAUUGGGCGUAAAGCGCGCGUAGGUGGCUUCGUAAGUCCGUUGUGAAAGUCAAAGGCUCAACCUUUGAAAGCCGAUGGAUACUGUGAAGCUAGAGUACGGAAGAGGCGAGUGGAAUUCCUGGUGUAGCGGUGGAAUGCGCAGAUAUCAGGAGGAACACCUAUUGCGAAGGCAGCUCGCUGGUACGUAACUGACGCUGAGACGCGAA